rnacentral:rRNA from 1 species
ACAGCCGUUGCACACGAGUCAGUCGAUCCUAAGCCCUAGGAUAACUCCAAAGGGAUUGCGGGCAUGAACUGUUGUGUGAAGGGGUUAAUUGGGACCCUCGUCCAGAAAUACGGCACUAGUACGGCUCAAGUGCUAUCUGGCUUAGCCUUCACGGAUUUCCCAAUGCAAUACCCAUCCUUUGGGCGAAAGGGAAUCCGGUU